CCUACGGGUGGCAGCAGUGGGGAAUAUUGGACAAUGGGGGGAACCCUGAUCCAGCCAUGCCGCGUGUGUGAAGAAGGCCCUCGGGUUGUAAAGCACUUUCAGUGAGGAAGAACGCCUGGUGGUUAAUACCCAUCAGGAAAGACAUCACUCACAGAAGAAGCACCGGCUAACUCCGUGCCAGCAGCCGCGGUAAUACGGAGGGUGCGAGCGUUAAUCGGAAUUACUGGGCGUAAAGCGCGCGUAGGUGGCUUGAUAAGCCGGUUGUGAAAGCCCCGGGCUCAACCUGGGAACGGCAUCCGGAACUGUCAAGCUAGAGUGCAGGAGAGGAAGGUGGAAUUCCCGGUGUAGCGGUGAAAUGCGUAGAGAUCGGGAGGAAUACCAGUGGCGAAGGCGGCCUUCUGGACUGACACUGACACUGAGGUGCGAAAGCGUGGGUAGCAAACAGGAUUAGAUACCCUUGUAGUC
rnacentral:rRNA from 1 species